rnacentral:rRNA from 1 species
AUUACUCCUACGGGAGGCAGCAGUGGGGAAUCUUAGACAAUGGGCGCAAGCCUGAUCUAGCCAUGCCGCGUGAGCGAUGAAGGCCUUAGGGUUGUAAAGCUCUUUCAGUGGGGAAGAUAAUGACUGUACCCACAGAAGAAGCCCCGGCUAACUCCGUGCCAGCAGCCGCGGUAAUAAU